AUACUUUCAUAAAGCCUAUCUAAUCACUGCUGAGCACACUGAACCCUCUGGGCACCACCAUGCAUGUCCUCAUCAUCGUCAUAUGCCUCGUGUGCAUGUGCUUGCUUUCGGCGCAUUUCCUCCUCUAUGUUAACAUCAUGCAGCGUAGUCUCCUCACAUUCAUCCAACUCCAUGUCGGUCAGCUGAGCCGAAGUCUUGGGGGGGAGGACAGCCUCCAGAGCCUUGCACUGUUCUGGAUUCAGUGAGUCGGGGAACUCCACUGUGAAGUGAAUAUAUAACUUACCUUUCAUGAAUGGCCUCUGGUACAUUGGCAUGCCCUCAUCAUUUAUAGCCUUGAAUUGAUCUGAUAGACACCAGUGAAAAAACAAAUUAAAUCACUGGAACUAAAAAAUAUUCUGAUGCAACGUCCAUUUGUUAGGAUGAAAGCCUAGAAUUCUCAAACAAAAGCUUUUAUCACAAUACGGGCCAAAAACUAAUGCACUAACUUUCACCGCUAUGCAUUUCCUAACUGAACUCAAUAUUAUGAUUGCAGGGACUGCAGGGACAGGUUGCAAAUCUCAUUUGUUCCAUUAGUAUAGUUAUGAUAAUUGCACCAUAGUAAACCAAACACAUGACCACAAGCAACAGUGUCUUCUUCCAGUCACUAACUACAAGAGAGAGAGCGAGGGGGAGAGAGAAAUGUAGGUGCGAUUAUAGGCAUAAAGGGAGUGAAAAGGUAAUAUGUUUUAAAUUUAAAAGGCAAAUAGAUGUGAUGUUAUUCCCACCCGCUCCGUUUUCUCACCCUCCAUUAAAUUUAAAACAUAUUACCUUCUCAAUCCCUUUGUUCCUAUAAUCCUUAGUCUUUUUCUCCUUUCCAAAAAAAUUGGUCAUCUUUGAAUAGCUUUACUCAUAUCGUCAUCAUAUACGUUUGUUUUCUGUUCAUGUAUUUUUUGGUUGUCUGUUUUCUUUUUCUUUUUCACUCAAAACUUCUUUUUGUUUGUAACAUAAACAAAAACUUAUACCAGACUUGUCAAUAACCCAUAAAACACCAAUCCAAAUCAUCAUUGGUUCAAGUGACAAUGGCCUACACAUUUAUUUGACCAACCCUAAUAAAGGUAGCAUAAUAAAAUAUUCCAAGAAUGAAUUUGAUAAUGAAUCAUAACAUCAGGAACUAACCGAAUGCACAAAGCAACUAUUCAAAAUGAGUACAGUAAUAAUGAAACUUACCAGGCUUUACAACUUCUCCAGGUUGGGAUUUAAUGAGGAGCUGUCUUCCAUCUAAAUGUGUCAAUACAAAUUGGAAGCCGCAGAGUGAUUCCACAAGUGACAAGGUAUGUUCAAAGAAGAGAUCAUCACCCUUCCUCUUAAAUUUAGGGUGCUCCUUUUGUUGUAGGACAAAGACAAUAUCGCCUGUGAUGGUGUCUGGC
rnacentral:lncRNA from 1 species